AUGAAUGCGUUACUUGCAAUUUCCUGGAUCCGAUUUUCCUGAAGUUCCGCGCUUUGCAGCAGUGGCAACUCGGUGAAAGCUCCGCUUGGAAUUAUCUACAUCGAUUAACGUUAACCGGGGCAAACCAUCGAAGGCGCCUUCACGCAACUCGCGGAUACGAUUCCUGACAAGUUUGAGCUCGAGCAAGGCCGAUAGACUGCUCAAUGUUUCCGGCGACAGGAUGUUCAGCUUGUUGAAGCUCAAGUCGAGUACCUGAAGAGCUGUUAAGCCGUGUAACGAUCCGGGUAACUCGGUCAAAGUAUUGUGCGACGCGUAUAGUUCACGAAGGUCUCUGCAAUUAACGUCGUUUCCUCCCUUUGAUAUGAAGUCAUUAACAGGAACAGUCGUUUCCGACUUUGACAAAUCGGUCUGCCUAAACGUAUCUUGGCAGACUUAAGAUCAGUUUGCAAUAAAAUGUUGAAAUGGAAAA
rnacentral:lncRNA from 1 species